rnacentral:tRNA from 1 species
AGCAGUGUGGCUCAGUGGAAAGAGCAUGGGCUUCAGAGUCAGAGGUCACGGGUUCGAAUCCCAGCUCUGCCA